rnacentral:rRNA from 1 species
AACGAACGCUGGCGGCAGGCCUAACACAUGCAAGUCGAGCGAAGCCUUCGGGCUUAGCGGCGGACGGGUGAGUAACGCGUGGGAACGUGCCCUUUGGUACGGAAUAGCCCCGGGAAACUGGGAGUAAUACCGUAUGUGACCUUCGGGGGAAAGAUUUAUCGCCAAAGGAUCGGCCCGCGUUGGAUUAGGUAGUUGGUGGGGUAAUGGCCUACCAAGCCGACGAUCCAUAGCUGGUUUGAGAGGAUGAUCAGCCACACUGGGACUGAGACACGGCCCAGACUCCUACGGGAGGCAGCAGUGGGGAAUCUUAGACAAUGGGGGAAACCCUGAUCUAGCCAUGCCGCGUGAUCGAUGAAGGCCUUAGGGUUGUAAAGAUCUUUCAGUGGGGAAGAUAAUGACUGUACCCACAGAAGAAGCCCCGGCUAACUCCGUGCCAGCCGCCGCCGUAAGAC